GACAACUGACCGAUUUUGAAUGUAAAAUAAAAAGUUCAGUGCUCUUAAGCAAGAUAGAUUCUACGCGCUCAAUCCUUUCUACUGAUUUAUCUUUAAUUUUCUUUAACCAAGAGUUGCUUUCCAGCAGAAUGCUCUUUCAUCAAGAGCUAUGCUCCUUGAACACUUCAAUAACAUCAACAGGUGCAUUUUGGAUGGUCUACAAGUACUGUAUUUUUGAAGGAUCUGAUACGUGUGUGUCAACAUUUUUGAAGAGUCUGCACAACAUAGAUCAAGAAGUAGAGAAGCUCAUUCGUCUCAUUUAUCACAUAUCAAUAUUUCCGAUUGGGAAAAUGAGUAGACAAAAAUCGUUGAUUUAAGACAAAAGAUACCUAAAAGCAGGGGAAAUACAGGCAAGUCUAGUGGUUUUUCAGGCGCUUAAGACCCAACUCCUUUGAAAUAGACAAAAUUUUGGGACUUUUUGAAUCGUUUCCAGCUGCCCAAUUUUAGCAAAAGUAUCAACCGAAUUCCCUGACCCAGGCCCAAUCUUUAAUUUCUACCUUAACACCUCGACCCAGCCCAUCUCCCCUUUAGACCCGACCCAAAUUGGUAUCUUCCCAAAAGGAAACCCAGCUGGAGACAGCGAGAGGCUGCCAGAAGACCUCAACUUUGUUCCUUCUCAUCGCAAUCCCAAACACGCACAUCAGUGCGUGAACCACAACCGAAGUGAUUCUCCG
rnacentral:lncRNA from 1 species